AUCCAGAUGACGAGUCCCAUAGUAGGACAAAACACACGUUCUGGAU
rnacentral:hammerhead_ribozyme from 1 species